ensembl:lncRNA
CUCUUGGUACGAAAUUCGAAUCCCAACAGGAAGUCAGUUAUUUUGAAUUUUCUCUGCAAAAUUUGUGUCGUUUUUGCCAUUUUCAGGGGUUGUACUUUAACGAACUCCUCCUAGAGAUUUAUUCAGAUCAACACCAAACUUUGACUGUGUAAUCUAAAGGCCUUUGCGAUGUUAAAUUGCGAAGAUCUUGAGGUUUCGUUUAAGGGCGUGUCUGUGGCGGCCUUACAAAUUUCGAUGUUUCACCAUGAGAAAGGAAGUUGCUAUAACUCAAACAUACAAUGUCCUAUCUGCCCCAAACUUCACAUGUUUGAGAAGACUCCUGACCUGAAUAUAUCUACAUGCCAAUAUUCAGAUAUCGCUAUAGCGCCACCUGCUGGCAACAGGAAGUGACAUGUUUUACGCCGUAACAAACUACUCCUAGAAAUUUUAUGACAUUUUAUAAUUUUUUUGGUCAGUCUAAUCUAAAGGCCUUUGUGAUGUUAAAUUGUGAACAUCUUGAGGUUUCAUUAAAGGGUGUGGCCAUGGCGCCGUGACAAAGUUCGAUGUCUCGCCAUGGGAAUAGAAGUUGUUGUAACUCAGGCAUAAGAUGUCCGAUCUUCCCCAAACUUCACAUGUUCGAAAAGAGUCUUGGCCUGAACACAUCUGAAGGUCAUUAUUCCACUAUAAUCAUAGCGCCACCUGCUGACAACAGAAAAUGGCUUGUUUUACACUAACUUAAACAUGCAAUGUUCAAUCUGC